rnacentral:rRNA from 1 species
CCUACGGGUGGCAGCAGUGGGGAAUAUUGGUCAAUGGGCGCAAGCCUGACCCAGCAACGCCGCGUGAAGGAAGAAGGCUUUCGGGUUGUAAACUUCUUUUGACAUGGAAGAGCAAAAGACGGUACCUGUCGAAUAAGCCACGGCUAACUACGUGACAGCAGCCGCGGUAAUACGUAGGUGGCAAGCGUUGUCCGGAUUUACUGGGUGUAAAGGGCGUGUAGCCGGGCUGAAAAGUCAGUUGUGAAAGCCGGGGGCUCAACCCUCGAACUGCAGUUGAAACUGUUGGUCUUGAGUAUCGUAGAGGCAGGCGGAAUUCAUGGUGUAGCGGUGAAAUGCGUAGAUAUCAGGAGGAACACCAGUCGCGAAGGC